UCUACAUGUAUAGUUUUCUAUUUCUAUUCUUUCAGUUCAGCUGCAUAAGACAUACUAUAUGAGUAUAAGCCAUUCUACAUUUCUUUGGAUGACAAAUCUUAUAUGUCUAUCCUGUCGCAUUCACGUGGCUCCUAGCAGCCAAUGUCCAACCAGCAGUGCUGCUAACUUUAUCACCCUGUUCGCAUUCAGGAAUUAAUGACUGCUGCGCUCUUAUCGUUUGGCGGUGUUAAAGCACCGAGGCCAAUGAUCAUGAAAAUCAUUCCUGAUUUCCACGCUCUUCGUCGGGACGCUUGUGCUGGCCGCCACAUAGCGGAUUUUCGAAGUUACGAAAAAGGAUUCUGAAUACAGAACGUGGUGGAUUGGAAGACAUGAAAAAUGGACCUGAAGCUAUAUAUCUUCCAGAAAGAGAGUUCACUCUAAUUGUAACACUAGACAUUAUAGAAUUAAUUAAUAGGGACCGUAGAUUUAUCACUGUCUGCAAAAGAAGCAAAAUCAGAUGUGAGCUCGUUUUAGUCGUAAUCGUUAAUUUUAACCCCCUUGAUUCUGUAGCCCCCGAAUAUACUUGGAGAAAAUAAUAUUGACGUAUUACAAAAUAGAACCGCAAGGGGAUUAAUCUGAUGACGCAAAGAAUUUUUAGCUAACACUAUACAUAUUUAUGUUGAUAAGAACUGUGAUAACAAUUGUGCUCAGUGACUAGGAUGUGCUCUACAACUGCUGUAUACUAAUUAGAUCAGCCUGACAGGAUUUUGCAAGCUAGUACGUAUAACAGAAAGAAUAUAUGUGUAUCUGGUUCUGCAAAUGGUGUCUAUGACCCAUAUAACACGCCCAGCGUAACUAGGUCAUGCACCCCCGUGUUUCCCCUGGAAUUGUACAGGGUGUCCCGAGUAAAUCCCAUCUAGAAAUCGCUAGGGGUUAAGCAGCUAAAUUGAGACUCACCCCCUUGACAUUUUGUACUCAGUUAUUUUUAACGGUAACAGUGUAAUUUCGUUAUACCAAAGACAGCGUGCUUAAGCGAAUUACGAAAGAUAUUAAAAUUUGACUUUUUAAAUAUUCAAUCAGGUGUUCCGGACCCAGCCACAUGUGCAAACAGUUCAAUUUGAGAAUUCACACAAGUCAGUUCGAUUAGUUGAUAGUGAUUGUACAAAAAUUUGUGAUAAAAAUGCCAAAUGACUGACACAGAAAUUUAUCUUUGGUGACUUGUGCAGUUAAAAAUAUCUGUCAAGAAAAUUCCUUGUCUAACAAUUAUUUAGAAGUAUCGUGUUAUUUUUUUGUAAAGAAGGAAAGAGAGAAAAGCUAAUAGAGGAGAGAAUAACGUCAGACAUUCUCGCAGGAGCUCUUCCUGCCUCCCGGUUAACUUGCGUUGGGUUUAGGUUAGGUUACGCUGUUGCAGCAGCUUGGGGUGAUGGCGGUAGUGAGCUUUGCGAUAUGUGCCUCUCUCUCUCUCUCCCCCCUUCCUUCCUUUCUCUAUACUAUGCUGGGGGUCCGAUGCACCCCGUUGCCUUGGAAACGACCUACUCUCCCUGGAUAGACGCAUCGCGUACGGUCACUAUGCUAAGCAUCCCCAAUAAAGGAUAACCAGGAGCCUGGUUGGCCAAUUCGCAAGGACUACAAUACCGUGCGACUUCAUGCAAAUACUUGUAUCCGUGUCCCGUGCAAUCCUGAGGGAUGGAAUCCGUUGCAGAAAUUUCAUAAUGAGAAUAAAGGGCCAGUCAAGGUCCCAGUUACGCAUGUACUAGCUCAGUAGAGACCUGGGCAGACCUUGGAUUUACAAAAGAGAAUUUGCAGCAUGAAAAGUGAAGUCCAAUAAUGGUGCCGAUUCAUAGACACCAGAUGGUGUUCCUUGUGAGUACUGAUAAAACUUGUAAUAGAAUAUUUUUAGUUUUAGGUUUCAGGUUAUGUCAUCAGUAUUGAUUUCUAUAUUAGACUAGUGCGCUCGAGAGCGUAGCUGUAGAAUUAUCUUUGGAUGGUAUUUAAAUCUCGAAUAAAACUAUAUUGGGAGAUUGGAAAAAUCUGCUGUUUCUCAAUGGAAACGAUCGAUAACUGUCUUUCGUGCAUUAUCUGUCUUUUCGUGCGUAUUUUAAGGAUUUUUGGUUAAGAUCGUUUUUCACUUUUAUCUUUAAGAACGUCCAGUCGACAGCAUCUACUUGUAUACAGAUACCGAACGUCUCUAAGAAUUAUUGGUAUGAGGGACUUUCUUUUUCAAUGUCUAAAUUUUCCUUACUUAACAGAAUUCAUCUGGGCGAGUUCGGAUCGAUUCCCAUGAGUUUUCACAAUAAUAUAUUCUUAUGGUAAUCAAACGUUUCAUUCUGUCAAAGUAAAGCCCUAUAAACGCCAUAAUAUUCUGCUAUUCCAUUCGAUGAACAUUGUCGAUGAUUCUGAUAGAUUUUCUAAAUAUAUUUUAGGAUAUACCAACAGUCAAAAUUCUAAUAAAAGCAACGACACCUACAUCUUGACAAGUUGUAAGUGACAAAGAAAAGGAAAUCAAAAUGGCAGUUCGACCGCUGGACUUUCAAAUAACAACCGUUGCCACUGAAGAUCUAUUUACCAACCAAUACAAGUCAGUCAAACUCAAGUUAGCUUCGAAAUGGUCAACAUCGCACCACCCCUAAGGGCCGUCACCAAAGUCUAGACCAUUCACAAACAAUUCCCAGUGGUACUCGACGGAAAUAUCUAGAUAUAUCUUCAUACAUACAGAGUGGCUACGGUAACAUUCAACUAAAAAAAGGAAUACGAACACGCACCCGUCGUAGUUCGAUCCGUCUAGCACGACGACGCAACAGAACGGCUGUUAAAAUUGUGUAGAUUCUUGAAAAAUCUUUCAACGUAACGUAACGCAACAACGAUAGAGGUCUCUGACAAGUAUGAGGUCAGUCCUUAGCACAUGUAGCACUGGAGUAGAAUGGCCGUAAACUCUUAACUACUGUAGGUAACUAUCCCUGACAGUGGCAAAGAACGUUGCUUUUAGAGAGCGCGCGAAAAUUCAAAAUCUCCAUAAGUUAAUAAAGCAGAACACUCAACGAGGAAUAUCACAGUAGCAUUGAGUUAACACAGGAUGCUCAUAGGACCAUCCGGAAAUAUCUACGCGCCCGAGUCCUUCCAAAAUGAUAUUUUUGGUACCGUGCUGGGCGUCGUUGUCGACGCUGCCGUCGGCAUUACGUCGAAUACAACGAGUUCCUUAACUGAUCAUUGGACGGACACUGGAGAUGUGCACCGAGACUGGAUAUAAAUUUCAAAGGCAGCGAGUCAACCGAUGGUACAAAACCGUCUGGGUAGCACGUGGGAUUGUGACUGACGGGAUUCGCGCCUUUGAGAUGCUCCUCCGGUGGCAUAAGCACUCGUGAUCCCAGCCGGGCCUACCGAAUGUUCACGGAUCUUUCCGAAGAGCAUCGAAUACGAGGACCAUGCUCUGUAUUAUGUGGGGAACACCCGUUGCGUGGUAACUACGGGAACUCGCUCCGCAGGUUGCUGAACUCAGUGGCCCAUAUAUCCGUAAAUAGGUCAGAGACGAAGACAGAUUACACGUAGAGAGGUUCUAGGAGCCCGGAAGUGAUCGCCAUGAUGGAAUUUUUAAAGGGGUUCGACUCGAACAAAUUCUAAGUUCCAUGCAGAAGAGUUCUUUAUGCUCUGUCAAUUCCUGAGACUGCAAGUGCUCCAGUUUAUUGUCAAUUACGUCGUAGAGAACUGCGCACAGCAUUUAUACAUGGCUUUAUUACGUUCAUGAGCCCAGGGUGAAAAGAAAGAAAGUAAAGAUGUACCCUGCUGACGGCUUAUGUUUUUACCGUUUGAAAGAAGCAACCGUAUAGCGGGGCAAAGCGCACGGUGGGCCGUGACGAUUGGCGUACAGGGCCGUAAAAAUAAGCGGCCGGCAGCCCCAGUGGCUAUUUAUAAUGAAAAUAUUUUCGCGACGACGACGAUGGCCGGCGACGCAUCCACUGUACACUAAUUGACAAUACGGAAGUGUAGCGUGGUAUAUUUCAUGCGUGCCAACCAUCCACUUCCGGUUUUAUUGAUAAUUUGAUACAGUACCUACCUUUACCAACGCUAUAACUUAAACCCGAUUGAGUUUCGAAGCAAACUCGCGAAUUUCAGCAGUGAAUAUCCAGUCAAUGUUAUUAAUAGAAUCGUCGUGCGAAAAAGCCCCCAAGUCCAUCCGGUCCACGAAGACUACUAGCCUCGGGAUCCUGGCCAACGUCCAGGACUACGUCAAACCUCUGACGCCAGCUUCAAUGAACGAGCUAGAGACGGGAUUACUCCUGGUGAUGCAUUGGGUAGUUGUGUUAGAGUAUUGAGACUAUUUUUUUGUCUGUCAAUUCAUAAUACGGCUUAAUUAAUUUUGUAACUGUCUAGAUAAACGGUCUUUGGAUUGUUUUGAAAAAUUACACUUUGUAUCACUGGAUGAAGACUGACCGCUCGGAGUUGCUGUAUACCCUCGAUACUUAUAUACACGGCUUCUGGAGUAACGCUGUUUACAUUAUUUAAGUCCGUUGAAUACAAGAGUAACCGGAAACACACAGGACUGACAUGUACCUAACUCAGUGGAGGUAAAUGGCAUAAGGCUGAUCCCACGAGCGUAUUACAAGACACCCAGGGUAUCUGGAUGAAUAAGAUAUACUUUUCCUGUGUCCAUUGUGGCUCUUGUGGACGGGCCUUUAUACAUGCAUAAGAGUAGGACAUUUUCCAAUAAUUGUCAUGGAGAGUUACUACCCUGUGAACUGUCUCAGGUACACCCACCACCUCGUCACCCACAUGCAUCCCCCAGAUGGUUUGAAAAAUUCAAAGCAACCGGUUGCGAAUUCCACUGUUGCCAAAGGUCUCUACAUAUUUUUUUUUCUAUUGGGAAUUCAAGAUGAAUUACAUAACCUGCUACCUAGCGCCGUUGCAGAUGGUAUAUAAAGAAUACAGUAGUUCGAGCAGUUCGAGAAACGAGGAGAAAAGAAAUAAAUUGAUGAGAAGAGAUGAAAGGAGAAUCCGUUAAAAAUUUAUGUCCUGGAUGAAUUUACGUCCCGAUGUGAAUUAUCACAGUGGACAUUUGGCUCACGUCUGACAAUUUAACGUCCGUCCCGAUGUGAACGUCUGAUCGCUUUCAGAAAAAUGAAUCUUUUAUUCUCUUUAAUUCUGUACGUUAUGUUUAGCUCCAGGAAAAAAGUCUAGACGGCUGUCAAUCCAAGAAAGAAACAGAAGAAGAGGAUGAUUCGUUUGAUCAGAUUUCAUUUCAUUGGUAAAACUGCAACGCUUGUACCAAUACUGAAGAACUUUCAGUGAUAGUGUAAAAGCAAGGUAUGAUGUAAUCCAGCCCCUUCGUCAGCAGAUGACUCAGGGUUCGAGCCCGGGACCUAGGCCACCCGCCACGGCCUGUGGGUCACGUUCAUGUACCGGAUUGGCUUUUUCGAAUGAGGAAACUUCAACCGAGUCACAAUUGGGAGGUCAUAGUUUUUAUUUUACUUAUCUCCAGAAUAAGGGUCCUGGCUGAAAAUAAAUGUCAGUCUUCGAAGACUGUGGAAAAUUAAAUGAGAAAGGUUACAGUUAAAUUUUUAUUAACAAUUAAAAAGUCCUUCUGCGUCAUCCAAGCCCAGAAUACAAAUGAAGAACCAGAUGAUUAUCAUCGAAUACAAAGCGGUCGUUAGCUUCCUGAUAGGAGAGAGUCACGCAACCCCGUAUUAAGGGUGCCUACCUAAGACCCACAGAACGUACGUACGGCAAGUAAAUUUGGUAAGGCGUACGAUAACUCUAUGGGUGACCUUGUGAUAUCGAUCAGUUAUCAGAACAAUUCCUGGAAGUGUUACUGGCUUCGCGUGUCAGCUAACGACUAAAAUUUUCGAUAACGACUUCUUCAAACUGAAUACGUGUAUGAAGGUUGAACAGCCAUAUUUUUUUAAUCAACAGAAAUGCUUUCACCCAACAAGUAAGCCAAGCCUUGAGCAUAGGAACCAGCUGACUCUUAUCAAAAGCCAAGGUACAGGUAUCAGGUCUACAUAUAAUUCAAUUGAUGUAGGAAAAAUAUGAAUUUUUCAUUCGGAAUGAAUCAGGCAUCUAGAAUCGAUCAUGAAGACAGCCCAAAAGCGAGGUCAGGGCAUUCGUGACCUGAUGAAAUCGCGUGUUAACAAAACUCCCAAAAGCAUACUCUGCUGUUUCCGCGAUUCGACGCCGCUUAAAGGUGGCUUGAUUGAUGUAGGUGGAUGACAGGUCGGUUGGGCUAUUCCACGAAUCAGCAUCGUAGAGUACGAGGUCAAAGGUGAAAGAGGUAGAUUCGAGUCUGACUCACUAUCAACACAAGGUAUUCAUAUGCCUCCAUAUACCACGUUGAUGACCUUGGUAGAUCAAGAAUUAAUUACUAGUAUCCUUGACUAAGGGUUAUCAAGGAAUAUCCAAGUGGGUGGAUAUUUAAUCCUGACGUCUUUUCGUAUUAUGUCAUUGCAUGCUGUACAAUGAUAAAACUCUCCAUGUUUAGAUACAUGUAUCCAGCAUAUUAAGAGAAAGACGUGGCUAGAUACCUAUAUACGUAUAGCAAGUUCCUGACAGCAUCCCAAGUCACGCCAGUGCACCGACUACCCUUAAGUUCUCGUAUACAUACAUGAAGUGUAUAACGGGUGCGCAAGAAACAGAAAGCUGAAGGGAUGAAAUUGCUAAAACUACAAGGUGACGGCAUGGCUGUUCCAUCAAUGAAUUUGGAAAUGCCUAAGUGCUUCCCUUGAGUUCUCAGAGGGAAAAAAUAAAUCCUAAAAAACGUCUCAUCUCCCGUGCUUCCUCGACGUGAAACCCAAGAAAAGCGAUGGGGACCAGCACGAGAGCGACCGAAUCGAAAUGAAAGGGAGAAUACUCCUCUUGGGCUCUUAGCAGUGGCAAACGAGUAGGUUGGUCAGUCAACUGUAAAAUAUCUCUGUAUAAAAGAGAAUUUGGUUUCACUUAUUCAAGACAGAACGCUGCCACUGAGCUCUCGUCCUUGAUCCUGUGCACGCAAUGCAGAGAAUAAGCACCUACGUCAUGCUCUGUGGUUGCUACGAAUUUCAAAUGCCAAUAACAAUGGUAAGUGAAAGGAAUGACUAAUCGGUAUAUAACGUUGUACGUGGAAUCAUUUAAAGGUUACUAGCAACACUGUUUACCUCGUAUCACAUGAAGUCUACAUCCAUAUACUGUGACAGGCUGUGCCAUCUUUUACUUCAGCCUCUCUUUUGACGAGGGUACAACCAGUUGGACAAAGAGAGUAGCGUCGUUGAUGUCAGCCACGAGGAUGAUGAGCAUGACAACGACGACGUGGGGACUGGCUGGGAUGUCGUUGAUGCGAUGGGAUAUACAAGGUAUAAGGUUGGAUUCGGGUAGAGACGGCGAGCAGGGCUAUAAAAGUAGGGCAGUAGUGCGGUAGAGCAAUCAAUAGAGGCUCGCUUCUGGUGGGGGUAACGCCACACGGUAAAUAUUAGUCGCUGGGGAAACAUCAGGGGGAUUCAGAUUGGAAAUGGCCACUGUGUAUCACUGAUAGGAUGCGGAGGCACUUAGUGCAUCAGACACACCGUGUCAGUAAGCAAGUAAUAAACAGAAUCCUGAUGAUUCUGUUGAAGAAACUUUGAAACAUAAUAAGUGAUGUAUCAUUAAGAUUGUUUCAAUGCUUUGCUUCUUACAACGUGGAAUUUCUUUUUGUAGGUAUGAACCUUUAAGGAUGUCACACGGUCCUCCUACUAAGGCUUUUAUGACCUGGAAACCUUUACAAGUUCGUCAUCAAGGCUUUUGCUAAAAUUGUAACGUCUUCGCGUUGAUCUUCUUGACCGUGGAGGUCUUUGAUAAACGAGUUAUAUUAGCUGUACAAAUUUUAUGGUAGAUCAUUUAGUAGUAGUAUCGUGUAUCGCUGCGUGAUAUUAGCUCAUAAUUAAUUUGUUAAGUUCAAUAAUACACCACGAGACACUGGUGUCCCCGUGGUCGAUCGGUACACUACGCACUUAACUGUGGAACCACGGAAUCACAUAUUACGUGAAAAGUCGUAAAUGAAAAAAAUUUGAUGACAAAGAUCCUUCAGUGAUGAAGACUGCAAUGGGUAUUAUUUUCUGAUUGUAUAUGGCAAUCGAUUGCUUGUUGUCGCUCACGAGUGUAGUCAAUAAAAGAAUAAGGUUAUAAAUGUAAGGUUAUAAGGUUACACGUAGAAAGGAACAAUUAGAUUUAGAUCCAAACUCGACCAAUUGUGUAUUGUCUUCGAGAGGAUUCAGUGUGUUACGACGAACAGACAUUCCUCUGAUCCUUAAUGGACGUAGCGAAAACAAAUCGUAGCCAGGAAUGUGAUCGCCAAAAGUGAGUAAAGGAGAAGUAUCGUCGAUGAGUCUUGCUAGGUACAUUUUCGUGCAUGCUGGUUCAAACUGAGGUCCAGGUUACAAUUCAAGCAGUGCAUUAAGAAAUAUCCAUCGUUUUU